GGAAGACAGAAUGAGCACACGAUGGAUGCCCUGGCGCUGCGUGCCGAUGAAGGAC
rnacentral:rRNA from 1 species